AUACUUACCUAGCAGGGGUCAUACCAUGAUCAAGAAGGUGGUUCACUCAGGGUGAGGCUCAACCAUUGCACUCUAGGUUGUUCUGACCCCUGCAAGUUCUCCAAAUGUGACAGUCCUGACUGCAUAAUUUUUGUUAGUGGGGGACUGCAUUUGUGCUGUCCCCUG
ensembl:snRNA U1 U1 spliceosomal RNA